GAUUUCCAUUAUUAUGCCAAAUAAGAAGAAGAAGUUUUCCAUUAUUCUCUGCGUUUCUUUCAUCGGAGACUUUGAAAAUUGCUCUAUCAAGUUCGUAUAAGAAGACAGAGACUGGAUUAUUCUCUCAUUGAUCACAGAGAGUUUUCUAGAGGAUACUUUCACACCAAUCUACAUAAUCUCUUCAGAUAUUUUUGAAGACUCAGGAGAGAUUUCAAAGUGUCUAUGGACUUCAGGAUUGGUAUGUGUUUCUCCUUAAACUUGUAUUUAAUUCGUUUUGUAUUGUUACAUACUUAGAUCAUGGCGCAAAUCACAACCAUAAUUGAAAAUAGACUCUGCAUAACAGCCUUCAGGUACGUAAAUCGGUUUAGAUAUAAACUUAAUCAUUAAAAAUUUUGCUUCUCUUACGUACUUUCUUGGUGAUUUUUAGAAACUGUUUGAUGCAAGAAUAUGAAAUUAGUGUAGGAUAAGACAUGUGCUUCUCCUAUGUGUGUAUUCGAUUGGUUGAUAUAGUUACUAAUGUUAGAAAUCAUAAGUUAACAAGCUUUUGCUUUUGAAUACUUGAAGUGAGCAACUGAUUUAAUGGAAUGUAUUUGACAAUAACUCUUUCUUUGUGCAGGGUAGAAAGUGAAAACAUCAACUAAGAUACAAACAAUACUAAGAUACAAACAAUAUCAGAAUUAAAACCUGAAUCUGAUAAAAAUGAAGAAUUUGUUACAUUAAAUGCAACCCUGUCUUAGGUAAACAAUUUAGAUGAAAUUUAUCGAUAAUCGUUGAAAAAUAUACUUUGUAAUUGUUUAGUAUUGUUAUGAAUUAGAUGUGAGAUGAUUUUAUUGGUUGUUUAUGGUCUAUUAUGUGGAUUAUGGUUUAUGUUUUGAGGCUUGAUCAUUUUGGUUGUUGCAUAAGCCUAUGUGCUUUGACUUUGAUUUAUACUUUUUUGUAUUGGGUCGGUACAUAGUAUAUGAUUCGAACUCAUGACUUGAAUUCUUUUGGUUGUUGCAUGAUCUAUGCUUUGAAGCUAUGGCUUUGAAUCCGUUGGUUGUUCUGUGGAUUGAAGCGAUGGCUUGAAUUUGUUAGUUGUCACAUGAUUUUUACUUACUUGAAUAUAUGCAUUGUGUGGUCUAAUAUGCUAACUUGAAUAUGUUCCUUGUGUGGUUUAUGCUUUGAGCUAUGCCUUUAUUCGGUUGUUUGUUGUGUAGUCUUUGCUUACUUGAAUCUGUUGGUUGUUACAUGGUUUUUGCUUACCUGAAUCUCUAUGUUGAGUGGUUUAAUGCUAUCUUGAAUAUGUUGUUUGUUUGCGUGGUCUAUGUGUUAAUUCAAAAAAUAUGCUAUUACUAACCUUGAAAUUUAUGGUGAACUCGAAAAGAGAUGGUUAUUGAUUGUCCUUGGAAGAUUAUCUUACUUGCUUAGUAGUGGUUUGAUGUGAGAUCUUUCUUUUGUUUUGAGUCUCUGAGAAGUGAGAAAAAAAUCCUUAGUGCUCAGUUACAAUCUUCGUUGAUCAACAAUAUUUUGUACAGAUUACUACAUAUUACGAUAAUUCAUGGAUUUACAUUUUAACAAGUUAUAUUUCAUCAUCAAAUUAUCAUGCAUUAUAUGCUCAGUUCAAGUCUUUCAAGUUUGAUUGCUUUGUUAAUUUCCUAAUAGAAUUCACUAGUUUCUGGUUUUGUGUUGCGUUUCUUCGUGUCUGAAGCUAAUAUGGUGUAUGAAGCUAAUUUUGUAACCGUGAAUGAUUCUAGUUCUGGUUUCUUGAAAGAUUUCAAUUUCUUUGUUCUGCAAAGUAACUGUUUCCAGAGAACUUGUUUAGUAUGAAAUACUUGUAAACAGUUUUUAACCUUUGGGGUUAAAAAACUGGCCUUGCGAAAGACUCAUGUCAAUGUUUCCUCCAAAACAUGAGUCUUUGAAAUAGCAAAAUGGUAAUGAUUUUUUCACGGUUCUUCAACAUGUUUAGCUUUCCUUCAAUCUUCCACAGUCUUGCUUUCUUUAGGUACAUUCUUCAGAAUCUCUUGAGAGACCACAAGCUUUUUGUUCUUAGUCUUUUUCUUGAAUGUUCUCUUCUAGUUCUAGUUUUUAUGUAGCUUGUUUGGCUUGAAGUUGUCUUCUUCCUUUAGUAGACGUUAGAAUAUGGUUUAUGGGACAUAUAUAUAAAAACCAAAAACAGAACCAUAGAAACUUUUCAGUGCUUAAUAGUUAGAUGCCCUGUUCUAAAAAUCGGCCGCUUAACCGCUGAUCGGAUGGGGACCGCGGCGAUUUUGUCCAAAUCGGUAAAAAAAAUCGGUGAUUCGAUUUUUGUCCGCCUAGACGGCGCCUAGCCCAAUUUUUAUUUUUUUUUUACAUUUUUUUUUUUGGAUAUAAAAUUCAAAACGUCCCACUUAUGUUC